CACAGGCAUUUAACAAUGUGAUUGAAAGUCAAGACAUAUAUAUAGAACUCACAAGGAGAAUGAUCUGAAAAAUAUUCAAUUAUAAGCUCUCAAAACUGAGCCCCCAAAUAAAAAAUUCACCCAUUCCCAUUUCAUUAUACCUUCCCAGAUAUUUUCUCCAACUAAUAAUAAUACAUUUUUCUAGGUGUCUCUCCACCAUGGAGAUACCCAGACCCAUCAGCAAGGCUGGUGUGGAAGAAAUGCCAGACUCAACCACGAAUCACUAGUCUGGGCAAUAGUCACAGACCUGGCACUCAUUGGUGAGGCAGCACUCAGUGGUGGG